rnacentral:tRNA from 1 species
GGGCGAUUAGCUCAGGGGUAGAGCACUGCAUUCACACUGCAGGGGUCGCAAGUUCGAAGCUUGCAUCGCCCACCA